rnacentral:sRNA from 12 species
GCUUUCAACAUCCCCGUUCCGGAACGAGCGUGAGCCUAUUGCGGAAUAGCCGCAAUUCCAUUCUGCAUCCGGAGCUGAAGGC